rnacentral:misc_RNA from 1 species
GCCACACUGAGAUGCAACAUUGACGAUAAGGAGGACUUUCCCCUUGAAGGUGCUCAGGUCCACAUCUUUGCCACUUGCAUCCUUGACGGUGAAGUCGUGGACGGAUGCGGCGGAGGAGGCGGCGGUGGCCAUGCUGAACAGCGCGAACCCGGCGGCGACCGGACGGACCAGCGGCGAGACGGCUGCGGAGACGCGCGGCGGGUGAGGCGCACCGACAGGGAUAGCGCGGAGGAUGCGGGGGCUGUGCCGCGGCGGCGCGGAGGACGAGAACGGGGAGAGGGCGGCGGCGGUUCGGAGGAGCCGGAGGCGAGAGAUGAACGGG